rnacentral:rRNA from 1 species
GGGGCAUAUGUCUUGUAAUUGGAAUGAUGCCGACUUAAACCCUCGGCAGAGUACCAAUUGGAGGGCAAGUCUGGUGCCAGCAGCCGCGGUAAUUCCAGCUCCAAUAGCGUAUAUUAAACUUGUUGCAGUUAAAAAGCUCGUAGUUGAAUUUGAGCUUGCGCGAUUCCGUUAUUGGAGUAUUGCGCUUGCUUUUUUGUUACUUUGAGAAAAUUAGAGUGUUUCAAGCAGACUUUUGUCUUGAAUACUUCAGCAUGGAAUAAUAGAGUAGGACCUUGGUUCUAUUUUGUUGGUUUUUGAGCCUUGGUAAUGGUUAAUAGGAACGGUUGGGGGCAUUCGUAUUUAA